GACGUAGGGCGCGAGCGUUGUCCGGAUUUAUUGGGCGUAAAGAGCUCGUAGGCGGCUCGUUGCGUCGGCUGUGAAAACCCGCAGCUCAACUGUGGGCUUGCAGCUGAUACGGGCGGGCUGGGAUUCGGUAGGGGAGACUGGAAUUCCUGGUGUAGCGGUGAAAUGCGCAGAUAUCAGGAGGAACACCGGUGGCGAAGGCGGGUCUCUGGGCCGAUAUCGACGCUGAGGAGCGAAAGCGUGGGGAGCGGACAGG
rnacentral:rRNA from 1 species